CGGGGCCUGGGUCCGACCGCCCGGUUGUUCUUUCCUUCGAUGAAAACUGAGGCCCGAAGUGGACGAGGCGAAGGCCUUCUUGCUCUGGGGAGGGCCGAGUCGUGGAACGCCAGCUUGGCGACGCCCCCGCACCGUCCCCGAAACGCGUGACGUGAGGGGCAACAGGGCCGUUUCUGGGAGGAAUUGUGCUACUCUGGUUAUAAAGAGGUUGGUAUAAUAUCGGAGGAGGUUUAGUACCCCCUAAAUUUGAGAUCUGUGCCAAAGGCCAACUUUGUUUUUUUUUUUAAGGUUUAUUUAUUUAUUUAGUUUGAGAAAGAGAACAGGGGAGGAGCAGAGAGCAGGAAAGAGAAGCCCAAGCAGUCUCCGCACAGUCAGAGCAGGGCCCGACUUGGGCUCAAACCCACAAACCCUGAGAUCUUGAUCUGAGCAGAAGUCCACUCAGGUGCCCCCCACAACUUUCUUUUCAAAAGGAAAUGUAUAGAUACUUAUCUGCUGAUAAUGUAUAUAGCAAAAAUAAAGCCUCCUGUAAUAAGUUAGCGUGUUCACAGGUGGACAGGCAGAGGUUUGCAAAAGGACUGAUUGUGAAGUUUUCCUCCUCCAGGGUCCAGGAUCCAUCACAGAUUAUUAACCAAAAGGGAGUUCUGAGAGUUAAAAAAAAAAAAAAAAAAUAGGAAAAGCUGAAAGAUUUAAAACUGUUUAUUCAAGAAAAUCUCAAAGUAUAAUAAAAUGACAGAAUUUCAGAAAUUAUCAACACUUUUCAGUCUUGUUUUAUCUAUCACUACCACGCCCAAUUUUUUUUCUUUGCUGGAAUAUUUUAAAGCAAACCCCAAGGAUCAUGUCAAUCACCCUUUCAGUAUUCAUCUGAAUUCACAGUACGUGAACAUGUUAGGGAUUCUGCCCAUAUUUACUCUUGUCUUCAUUUUGUUAAUAGCUGAAGCCAUCCUCCAUAAUACACAAAUCUGAGUGGAUUAGCAAUCUCAAUGCAUAGAAUGAAAUUUUGCAGAUUAUAAUCAGGAGUAACACCCAAUAUUUAACACUAUUAAAAUAGAACAUAAGGGAGAAUAGAAACUAAUUUUUAAUAAUUAUUCAUUUAUCUAAUAAUCAUUAAGUGUUUUUUGUGUUCUGGGCAUGAUGCUAUGCCCUAUGCAGUCAGGGAUAUAAUAAUAGGCUUACAGACCAAAUAUCAAAGUGAUGGUUAGAUUUAUAUAUGUCUAGAUAAUAUAAAGAGAACAAUAAGUUUUGUAAAUGGACACUAAUGACUUACGGAACACCAGGUUUUUAUUUUUUUUUUUUUAAGUUUGUUUAUUUUGAGAGAGAGAGAGCACGGGCAAGGGGCAGAGAGAGAGGGGAAAGAGAGAAUCCCAAGCUGGCUCCACACUGUCGACGCAGAGCCUAAUCCGGGGUUCGACCUCACAAACCGUGAGAUCAUGACCUGAGCCAGAACCAAAUGCUGGAUGUUCAAUCAACUGAGCUACUCUGGAACCCAGGACCCCUGGAACACCAGGGUUUAAAAGUUGUAUUAAAUAUUAUUUUAGGGGCACCUGGGGAGCUGACUGGGCAUCUGACUCUUGAUGUGGGCUCCAGUUGUGAUCUCACACUUUGUGAGUUGGAGUGGCAAGUCUGUGCUGUCAGCACAGAGCCUGCUUGGGAUUCUCUGUGUCCAUUUCUUUUAACGUUUUUUUUUAAAUUUAUUUUUGAGACAGAGAGAGACAGAGCAUGACAGGGGAGGGUCAGCGAGAGGGAGACACAGAAUCUGAAACAGGCUCCAGGCUCUGAGCUGUCAGCACAGAGCCCAACGUGGGGCUCGAACUCACAGACCGUGAGAUCAUGACCUGAGCUGAAGUUGGACGCUCAACGGACUGAGCCACCCAGGCGCCCCCGUCUGUGUCCCUUUUUUUCUGCCCCUCCCCUGCUUGUAUGGCGCUUUCUCUCUCUCAAGAAUAAAUAAAUAAACACUUAAAUUAAUUAAUUAAAUAAAAUAAAAUAAAUUAAAAUAAAAUUAUAACCCAAAUAAGUAUAGCACUUUCUAGGACUAAACUUUUAUCAUGGAAAUAAAAAGACUUUUGGACAAAUAAUUUACACCAAGGGACUUGACUAGGGUAGUGAUGAUGGAAGUGAAGAGGGAAGAUUUGAGAUUUUAGAAGGUAGAAUCAACAGGAUUUGAAGCUACAUUAGAGAGGGGAAUAUUGUUUUCCGUAAUUUUAUUGUUAUUUGGAGUUGGGAGAGAUGGAUGGGGAAAGUUUAGAAUUCAAUGUAGAGAUAUUGGAAGCAAGUCAACCCCAUUUUGUGUUAAGCCAGAGAAAUCUGUCCUAAAAAUAUUCAUUUGGGGGUUGUCAGUAUAAAUGAAACUGCUGAUUUGGAUGAGAUUGUUAGGAUCAAGGUUAGAGAGAGAAGGCCUAAAAAGAAGUGAGAUACUACAAUAUUGAAUGGCCUGUAGAGGAAAAUGAAGUUGCAAGAGAGAAGGAUCAGUAAGAGAAUUAAGAGCAAAUUAAAGAAAGCCAACGGAGUAUUUCUGGAAAGAAGUAGGGAGUAUUCACCAGUGUCAAGUCCUUACUAAGAUCGUUACUUACCUGUCAAAUGAGAUGAGAACAAGAAAAAAGUAUCUUAGAUUUAGUGCUAUGGGAAGCCUUCAGGAAUCUUGUGUACAGUUGUUUGGAGGGGUGAUAGCAGAGGCCAGAAUAAAGCAGGGAUGAGGAAAUGAAGAUAGAAGUCCAAAAUAAGUUUGAUUUUGUAGGUGAAAAAGGGGUAAGUCAGUAAAGGAAGUAUAGGUCAAAAGUGCGUUUCAUUUUGCUUUGUUUGGAUUAAAUUGGGUUCGAUUAGAACAUGUUGAAAUGAUGUUGGGCAAGGAUUCAGUCGAUAAGGAUUUAAUUGAGUAACCAGGAGAAAAUAGGCAUAAUUGAUAAGAGGGUUCCUAGAAGGUGAAAGGGACUAGGCAUCAAAGCUCUGGUGCAGAGAUUAGCUUUAUAUAGAGGAGAGUUCCUCCAUGGUUUCUAUCAUAAAGCAUAUUGUUCUUUGGGUAUGGUCAUUUGACACUUAUUAUAGUACUAUAUGCCGAGUAGCAUUGACAGAGUGUCAACCUACUUCUUUGACAAGGAUUUAUGAGGUAGAGCUAGUCUAAAUUGGUGGAAAGAAACACUAGAUUUAGGAGAGAAUAAGGAGGACAGAAAAACAGUCAUCUCUCAUUGCUAGGAAAGAAUUUUCAAAAGAAGUCCUCUUAACUCUAAAGAGCACAUUAUUGUGAGCUGGGAGAGGAGCUGGAAGGGGAUGAUUGUUUGAUUACUAAUAAAUAACUGAAGGAACACAUUCUCUGUGCCCCUCAAUUCUUGGAGGUGAACAUACUUUUCUUCUGAUAUGCAAUGAAGUGGAGUUAAUCUUAAAGGUCCCACCCCACAGCCUUCUUUGCAUUUGAAAGGAACAAAAAAAUCAUGAACCAAGGAUGUCAAUAAGCCUAGGGUGGCAAAAGGAAAAGGGAUGGAAGUGAAGUACCAUAAAGAAAUGGUGCCCAUUUGUGUAACCUGUGGUUAAGAUGCUAUUCAUCAUCCAAGAUUAAAGGAAGAAGUUUAUUACAUUGACUAGAUGCAAGAGAACUUCAGGAAAGUUACUUCCAAGGAAAGACAAAGAGGUGCAUUUUAUCACCACUAUCAUUGCUUCAUUCUUUUAUCUGACAAGGAAAAUUGAUCGACUGGAGCCACAAACUCAAAAAUUUGUCUUUGCUGCAGCGAUGUGUUUCUUGUGUCUGCUUUGUCAAUUGACACUACUAACAAGUCCAUGCUAAACAAUGUUUAGGUCUCUCCCAUAGAUUGCAUUUGGAAAACCAUUCUGUCAAAAAAUAAAAUAUACCCUUUAUGCUCGGCACGUGACAGACCAAUAAACUUCUAAAUACUACAGUUUCUGCACUUGUUAAAGUUAGCUUGUUAAGAUUUGUCUCUAGAAAAGAAAUUUGUUGUUUAAAUGAAAUGUACUAUCAAGAAAUAGUAAUAUAAAUAAAAAUAAGAGUAUGAUUUAUAUUGAUAAUAGCCCAUUUUUCCCAUGUCAAAUAUGAACAAGACUGGAAAUGUGACCUAUAUUCCUGAGGGAGCUCUCAGAACACAUUGUCAACACAGUUGACAGGAACUGUUUAUCCAAAUAGAUGAGGUGGUUACAAAACUGAAUUCUAUGGGAAUGCCAAGAUGAUACUGCGUAAAGCUCAUUGAGGAUAUUUAGAAAGAGGAAUGAUGGAAUAGAGCACCUCUGGCCAUAUAUAUAUAUACACAUAUAUGUAUAUAUGUAUAUAUAUACAUAUAUGUCUCAAACUCACAGUGUGAGAUCAUGACCUGAGCCGAGAUCAAGAUGCUUCAUUGAGCUACUCAUGCACCCUGCCUCUGGCCAUAUUUACAAAGAUAAGGUGGUAGUGGUUUUUACUAGUCAGCUAAGGAGAAGUAAUCAUAUCAACUAGCUGUUCCUAGGAGGGCAAAAGCUAGGGUACAACCAGAGCCCAGUCUCUGAACAUCAAAUGACACACAAGAUACUAAAUAACCAAGAAGCCUUUGUUAAUAGGCAUCAUUCUGAACAAUCACCUCUUUAAAAUAGGUAAUACAUGAACACAGUGUUUAAAAAAACAGUCAAGCCAUGCAAGAUUAUAUAUACACAUAUGCAUAUAUGCACACACACAGAGUAAGGUAGCCUCUAGCCACUCAUCUCUAGUCAUCCGCUUCUCAAAGAUAUUGUUGUAUAUCCUUUCAGAGAUGGUUGGUGCAGUUUCCUCACUUCUAAAUUUGGUAAUUCCGCUGUAUUUGGGAUUUUGACAAGUUUUCCACCUGCUAAGAGAAUAUUCUGAAGCCAGUGUGUUCCUAAACUGAGAGCUAACGGAAAAGGAAAUGCAAGAGACCAAUGAGAUCCUUGUCACAAGAAACAAAGGACACUGGGGAAAAAAAGGUAUGAAAGGAAAAGGUAAAUCAGCAAUGAUAUUUGUAGAAUAAUGUUUCCCUCUUUAACAACAUAGCUUAAUUAGGAAAAACAUAAGACUUCAGAGUCACAUUCUGAUAAAAUUCUGGCUAUGUCACUGUCAAGCUGUGUAACUGGUCAUUACUCAAUCUUUGAGCUUUGCUUUCUCAAAUUGUAAAAAUAAAGGUAACAUUAACCGCCACAUAAAACUGUGAGGUAUCUACUACUUAGGAAAAACCUAGUAAGUCGUGUGUUUUUAUUUUCUUAGAUACUGUUUAAAGGAAAUGGUUAUUGUUGUAUUUUAAUUGUUUCUUCCCUCUGAUUUUACCUCAGGAUUUAUUUAUGUUUUUAAUCAAAAUGUAAUUGUCAUAUAACUACUUCAAUAUGUAUUUGUCAAUAAUGUAUCUAAGGAUUUAAAUUUAUUUAUUUGUUUAUUUUUAAUUCCAGUAUAAUUAAGAUAUAGUGUUGUAUUUCAGGUGUACAAUAGAAUGAUUUGACAAUUCUAUACAUGACUCAAUGCUCAUUAUGAUAAAUGUAUUCUUAAUCUCCUUUACCUAUUUCACCCAUCCCCACCCACCUCCUUUUUGGUAACCAUUACUUUGUUCUCUACAGUUAAGAGUUUGUUUUUGUUUGCCUCUUUUUAAAUGUGUUUAUUUGUUUUGUUUCUUAAAUUCCACAUAUGAGUGAAACUAUAUAGUAUUUGUCUUUCUCUGACUGACUUACUUCACUUAGCAUUAUACCCUCUAGAUCCAUCCAUAUUGUUGCAGAUGGCAAGAUUCUAUUCUUUUUUAUGGCUGAAUAAUAUAUUCCAUUGUAUAUGUAUACCACAUCUAUCUAUUCAUCUAUUGAUGGACAAUUGCAUUGGUUCCAUAUCUUGACUAUUGUAUAUAAUACUGCAAUAAACAUGUAUAUACAUGUUUCAAGACCUAUCUGGACUAAUGAUGGAAAUCCUAUUUUCCUGAAAGUGCCCUCUAUAAGCCUUAUGGCAGUCCUGGACACAGGCUGCAAAGUAAAGGUCAAGCUAAAGGAGCUAACAGACAUGUAUCAGAAGUAAAGACUUUAAUCCAACUUGUUACAAACUGGAGAAAUACCAAACCAAAAAAUAAUUUUACUAUAUCAGAGACCAUAAAGUCUUUGAGAUAGAAAAAAGUUUUAAGGUUAUUGAGAGAUUCUGAUCCAAUAUUUGAAUCUUGUUUACAGCAUCUCUGCCAAGUGGAGAUACAUCCCAUGUUAAAUAACUCUAGUGAGAAUAAUCCACUAUUUCCUUAGAAAGGUCACAGACAUGUACUCUAAUUUUAAAAAAGAAAAACAAAAAACAAAACCAGCAAGGUUUAUAGGGACCUGCAAGUCUAGAUUCCAGGUGCUAUCCCCAUUUUCCAUUUUCACUGGACUUCAUUUUCACUCUCUUCCUCAAAUUCAUCUCCAUAUAGUGAUUUACAUAUAGGACUGAGUUUAUGGGAAGGCUGCCUUUUUAAAAGUUUUUAUUUAUGGGAAGGCUGACCUUAAAGGAAGCUAUUCUCUAAGAAAGUCAUUUUGGGGGCCAGGAAGCAAAGUUUCCCCACCCUUAACCACCCCCACCCCAACCUAUCAUAGACUCUCACAUCACACCAUUAGCAUUUCUGAAGAAAUGACACAUUAAACUAAGUCACACUAGGGUGUUAAUGACAUAUCAGAUAGAUUUUAUCCUGACGUUUGGGGACCCUGGAAAGUAAAGAACCACUACUAGCAAAGGAAAGAGCACUGAAGUGGAGAAGAGAAAAGCAACACUGAGGCAAGAUGAGCCAGUUUCCCAGUGGUCCGUGGACAGAGAUACUUAGUUGAUUACAUGUGAAGGACCUGGAAUUUGUUCAAAAUACUGUUUCUAGGAUUCCUCCUUGUAUUAUUUUGUCUCAGUAGAACUGGGGUGAAUUCUUGGGCAAUUCUGAUACUCAGCUAAAUUUAGGAACUGCUAGCUAUAAAGCCACAUUAAAAAACACAUACACACACAAAAACAGAAAACAACGUGACCCCCCACUUCGCAUAAAAACACAAAGUCAAUGUCCCUAUUCUGCCUAGGGCCAUCUUGGUUUGUUUAUACAAAGCUCUUGUUCUAAAGUCUCUAAGGUAAAGGUUAUGGGGAGAGUCAAUAGCACAUUAGGUAGCUGAUGAAAUGUGCUACUGACUUUUUUAAAGUUUCUAAGUUUACUUAAACAACAGUAGGUUUUCAACCAGCAGAAUGCACUGAUGAAUAUAAAAUACGUAACAUUUUACCUUUAAAACUUCUUUUGGCAGUUACAGUAUAUGUCUCUAAGGAUGAGAGUUUUAUGAAUUUGUAGCAAACACUAGGUCAUUGGGCCUCAAGAUAGCUUUGUGAAUCAAGUGGCAAGUUUCAGCUCUGAUUUCUCUUUGGGAAAUGGACAAGGAGAUAAAAAUGCAUUGCUAUAAUAGUGCAAUGACAAAAAAAAAUGUUCUCACAAUUAUGGUUGAAGCAUUUAGGUCAAAGAUAUAACAAUAAUUAGCAUUUGUUUAGCAUUUUAUAGUUUAUAAAAGUCAUUUGCAUAUUUGAUUCUUCUAAUAAUUCUAUAAUAUAGGUAGGAUACGUGUUGAGAUACCAAUUUUAUGGAUGAAGAUUUCUCAAAACCCAAAGUUUGAGGGAAUUUCCCAAGGUUUAUAAGAGUAUUCUAAGUUUUUAAAACAAUUCCAGGUAUGAGCCAGAAUGUCAUAAACUGUUUUCUGUUUUCUGAAUAAUUUGAGUUUAUUAAUUCAUACAAAGAGUUGUUUAGUUACUCCUGGACACAUGUAGUAAAUAAUAAUAGAACUAUCUUUAAUGAAGUUUGAGCGCAUACUCUGAGCUAAGCCCUGUGUCAGGUGUACAAAUUACCUCCAACCCUCAUAACAAUGCUGCAAAAUGUUACCUUACUUUGCAAAAGAGGAAAUUUAGACUUGGAGAGACUAAGUAAGGCGCCCAAUGCUUAAUAACUAACAAAUUGCAAAGACAGCAUUCAGACUCUCAUCUUUUUGAUACCAAAAUUAUUUCGUUAUACCUUUCUUAAAUGAUUAUAAGGACGUUUACUUACAAUCAUCAAUUUUUGGUCACUUCAGAAUUACUCAAAUUACCUGUAACAUUAGUUCAUUCAUUUAUACAACCACACAUGCUGAAAACAUCCCCCCCACCACACACACACACAUGGCUUAUUUCUAGGGUCUAGGCAUUAGAUGGGUGCUGCAUAUAAAACAGAGGAAAAAUAUCCCCGUAUGGAAUUUGUAGUCUUAGCCUGGGAAAUGUAUCAGUGAAUAAACAACCAGAAUAUAAAGUGAUGAAUACUACUUAGGAAUCUCUGCCUAAAGCAAAUACCAGGAAGUCAUCACUGCCUUAGCUGUGUACUAAGUUUGAGUAUGUAAAAUAGUAAAUCACAACCCUUAGUGAACAGCAUUUAAUUGAUUUAAUAUUAUAUAAUAUGCUUGUAGGUGAUGAUAAAAAGUAGACUUUUAAGAAAUCCUUUUCCUUUUAGAAGUGCAAAUUCCAGAAUAAACUCAAAUAGUUGGUAAAUGCUGUAAAGCCUUCAGAAGUUUGUAUAAUCACUGAUUUGGCUAGAGUAAUUUUCUCAGUUUAAUAAUUAUGACUAUUACAGUCCUGAGUUUUACUCCCAGUCAUGCAGUUGUAGCUGGUAUUUAUAACUACUAUCAAUUCCAUAGUUCCUUUGCCCUCUGCAAGCUUCUUACCUGGUCAUGGUUCCUUGCCUGGUAGGGUGACCCAAACCUUCAUCUCUGAAGGGUGUGGAUCAUUAAUCCUACUUGAACUCAGUUGUUGUAGUUCCUCCCUUGGCUUAAAUCACCUGACGUGGGAAGAGUAAGAGCAUGUAAAAUGGAGACCUUCCACAAUCCAAACGUACUCUUCCUUAUCCCCAGUGUGCUGGAGUAACCCAAUUUCCCCUUGGUAGUCAGGAUCAAAUCACCACACCAUGAACAGUAAGUAACUACCUGCUUUGCCUGUUGAUUGAUUACCAUGAGGAGCCCAAAGUAAACAGAUAGCAGUCUCAACUUCCAGCUUAAUGGAGCCAUUCUUGUGUCCUCUGGUGAAAACAUUCCUCCAUUUGGAACUAAGACCUGUAUACCAACAGAACCCAAAGUCACAAGAAGCAAAAAGUUUGCUAGUGGAUCACUAGGGGUAAAAAUGGGAAUGACUCCUUUCAUUAUAUAUGAAUAAUAUAUACAAUAUAUUAUUAACAUAAUAUUAUAUAUGUAACAUACAUAUAUAUUAAUAAAUAUAUAUGUAAUAUAAUAUAUAUAACAUAAUAAUGAAAGGAGUCACUCCCGUUUUUACCCCCUUUUAUUCCCAGACCCAUGAAUUCUGUCUAUAGGAGAAAGCACCACAUACAUUAUCUGAUUUAGAACAUAUACUGCAUCCUGGAGGAUGUUGCCUCAGCUGCACAAAGUAUGCCAUAUGUUACUUAGCUGGUACCAUAUUUGAGUCUUCAAAAAGCCAAUCCACCAUUCUUUCAAAUCUGUGGCUUUAGGGUGAUGGGGGAUAGAGUAGGAUUGGUGAAUUCUAUGAGGAAACUACCAUUACCACACUUCAUUUCUAUACAAAGACUUCCUUCAUCAAAAGUGAUGCUGUGUGGGGGCGCCUGGGUGGCUCAGUCGGUUGAGCAUCGGACUUCAGCUCAGGUCAUGAUCUCACACUCCAUGAGUUUAAGCCCCGCGUCAGGCUCUGUGCUGACAGCUCAGAGCCUGGAGCCUGCUUCAGAUUCUGCAUCUCCCCCUCUCUCUGCCCCUCCCCUGCUCAUGCUCUGUCUCUCUCUGUCUCAAAAAUAAAUAAAAACAUUAAAAAAAAAUUUUUAAGUGAUGCUGUGUAGAAUACGAUGACAGUGGAUAAGCCACUCUAUAAAUCCAUGGAUGGUGGUUUUGGCAUAAACUUUAUGUACAGAGAAGGAAAAUCUAUAUAGAGAUUAAGUGUCUAUUCCGGUGAGAACAGAGUGCUGGUCUUCCCAUAGUGGAAGUAGUUCAACAUUAUGUUGAUAAUAACCUGUUCCAGCUAGGUGACAGAUCCCCCUCAAGGAAUGGUUCUGUAUAAGGGCCUCAGUUUAUAUGUUCUCUAGUAACAUAAUCACAUCUGGAAUAGCAGCUACAACUGGAAUCACUAACUGAGUUUACAAUAAUCCACUGUCAUUCUGCAAGAUCCAUCUGUCUUCUACAGGCUCUCCCUAACACUUAUUUUACUGGCCAAUAAGUAAUGCAGUACACAUGAAUUUUUUGCCUUCUUCCUAAUGUUCAUACAGGCAUCUUUUUAGAUGUGUACACCUUCAGAAUUCUAUCAAAACUAGAAGGAAAAUUGGAGAGUAUUUUUCUUUAAAGCACUACCUUGGGAAUCUAAGCCAUAAAGGAAAACAUUAGCACUUCUAUCUCUUUAUUUAUAAUAAUAGUUACAUUUACUGUGAAUUUAUCCUCACAAAAACCUACAACUUAAAUAUUAAUCCCAUUUGUUAAAUUGGAAAACUGAGAUGCAGCGGAAUUAAAUGACAUGGCCCCAGUCCCAUAGCUGGUAGAGUAGAGCAAGGUCUUAGCCAGAUUCCUCACUCCAAAGCUCUUUCUCUUUAUACUACACCACAUUCUAACUCAUGAGAUUACGUUAUUCUCUUCCUAGGACAUGCUUUGGUAUUGCAUGAUAUAAUUUUAUUCUUAAAAGAAAUACAAGUAAGAAGGUAGUGAAAAUAGUUAAAGUUACAUGUUUUCAAGCACUUUUAUUAUUUUUUUUUUUUAGUUUAUUUAUUUAUUUUGAACAAGAGAGAGUGUGAGCAGGGGAGGGGCAGAGGGAGAGGGAGAAAAUCCCAAGCGGGCUCUGCUCUGUCAGCACAGAGCCCAGAGCAGGCUCUAUCCCGCAAACCCCGAGAUUAUGACCUGAGCUGAAAUCAAGAGUUGGAUGCUUAACCAACUGAGCCACCCAGGCAACCCUCAAACACUUUUAAACUUUUUAUUUUAACAUGCAUUUUGAAUUUCAUAAAGACUUUUGUAGCAUUUACCUUUUCCAUACUUUCUGUUCGUCAAGGUAAAUUGAGGAGAAUAAUGAUAAAAAAUUAUUGUGGAAUUUUAUCAAAUCUCACAAAGAUAAUGCCCAUGAAACAGGUUUGAAAAUCUGCAGUUCCCUAUAUGGAUGUUAGCAAUUAUUAUUCAUUGACUCUUAAACCUUUGUAAAAUAGGAAAGUUAAAACAUAUGCAAAAGGUUUAAAAAUAACUCAGGAUCAAUCUUGCUUCAUUUUUUACAGAUGCUCACUUCUUUCCUCGCCCACCCACUCCCAGAUCAUCUUAAAGCAAAUUCCUAGAUAAUUUUAUUAGUUGUAAGAGUGUAUAGCUUCUCCAAAUUAAAGAAUUAGCACGCGUGUCCUGGUGCAUAUCGUUGAUCAUCAAACAACACAUUGUUGAGGUGGGGUCACCAUGGUUUCACCUUCAAGGUGUUUAUGAUCCUUUCCUGAAGUGUAGUCUUAGCUCCUGAGGAAUGUCUUUCUUAGAGCUACUAAAACAAGAUACUCUAAUCAACUCUUAUGACCAUACUUACAUGGAGCAGAGACUGAUGAUGGUACUUUAAUAAAAACAACGAAGUUUUUACUAGGCCAACCAGCUAGAGUAUUACCACUACCUGACCAUUUUUUUCUAAAUCUGACCAGUGCAAUGUGAGAAGUGAUUUCUGUCACUACCCACUCUUUUCCUCAAGGAAGUUUGCAUGCUUUCAUGGGCACUUGGGUGGCUCAUUCGGUUGAGCACCCGAUUUUGGCUCAGGUCAUGAUCUCACAGUUUGUGGGUUCAAGCCCCAUGUCAGGCUCUGUGCUGACAGCUCAGAGCCUGGAGCCUGCUUUGGAUUCUGUGUCUCCCUCUCUUUCUGCCCCUCCCUCACUCACGCUAUGUCUCUCUCAGCCUCUUAAAAGUGAAUAAAUGUUAAAAAAAAGUUUAAAAAAAAUUGGCAUGCUUUCAACUUGUUCUUUUUUCUAACCUUCUGGUCCAGAUACAAAAGUGGGGGGGGGGGGGGGGGGGGGGGGGGUGGACAAGAGCAGCCAGCUUGGACCCAGAGACAAAAGCCACAUGUUGAGGAUGGCAGGGCCUCUUUACUAGCCCAGAACGACUUAUUUCUAGAAUAUUAGGUGAAAGAGAUAAAAAUGACAUUUUUAUUUUUUUCUUUCUUUCUUUCUUUCUUUCUUUCUUUCUUUCUUUCUUUCAAGAACCCCUUAUUUCUUGGGGCACCUGGGUGGCUCAGUCGGUUGAGCAUCCGACUUUAGCUCAGGUCAUGAUCUUGUGGUUCAUGGGUUUGAGCCCCGCGUCGGACUCUGUGCUGAUAGCUCAGAGCCUGGAACCUACUUUGGAUUCUGUGUCUCUGGCUCUCCCUGCCCCUCCCCUGCUCAGAAUCUGUCUAUCUCUCUUUCAAAAAUAAACAUUAAAAAAAAAUGGGGACAAAACAUAAAAGACUCUUAAAUGUGGAGAACAAACACAGGGUUACUGGAGGGGUUGUGGGAGAGGGGAUGGGCUAACUGGGUAAGGGACAUUAAGGAAUCUACUCUUGAAAUCAUUGUUGCACUAUAUGCUAACUAACUGGGAGGUAAAUUAAAAAAGAACCAGCACAAAGCCCAGCACAGUGCUUGAACUCAGGAGCCUGAGACCAAGACCUUAGCUGAAAUCAAGAGUUGAAUGCUUAACCAACUGAGCCACCCAGGCAUCCCACCCCCAUCACCAAAAUGACAUUUUUCUUAAGCCACUGUAUUUCUAUAUCUCUUUGUUACAAAAAGCUUAGACUAUACCAUAAUUAACUAAUGUAUCUAUAAAAUAUUGAAACCAAAACCAAAUGUUUAGAUUUUUUGUUUGCUUAUUUUACAAGCACUUUUUGUUCAUAUAAGAAUCUCCAAGAUCUUCAAGGACAGGGAUUAUGCCUUAUUAUUUUUCUAUCUCUAGGACCCUAUCAUUUUUGUAUCCCUAGAGAUAUAUAGAAAUGACUUAACAAAUAUAUGCCAGGAUAUAUUUAUAGAUAUUUAUAAUUAUAUAUUUAUUGUAUAUUAAAUAGUGUUAUACAUUAUUUGUUAUAUAUUUAUUUAUAUCAUAUAUAAUAAAUAUAUCCUUGGAUAUGUAUAUCCAAGGAGUUUGUGCCUUCCUCAAAUUUCUCUAUCAACAUCUUGUUAAGUCUUAUAACUUGGAUUAAUCCUAUGCUUAUAUUAUUUCUUUCAGAAGAGAAACUAUAGAAGCCAGAGAUGGCAGCAUUGACUUCCCUAAAAUCAUGUGGCAAAGGAAAAGCCUGUUCCAGCUCUUCUGUUAUUCCUUUGCCACUGUUCUGUAAGGAAGUCUUUGGAAAUAAAAACAAAAAUCACUAUCAUCUGACACAGAAAUAGAAAAGAUGCAUGCCUCCUCAAUUCCAAUGCCUGACCUUGUUGCCUGGUCCUUUUUUUGUCAUCUGACUGCUAUGAAUUGGUGCUUUUAGAAAUGUGAAAUUUCCUAUUUGAAAUUUGGUUCUGUUUGCCUAGAUGUGAAUAAAAGGUAGAGUUUGAGUUAUUGUAGUAAUGUUGAUGUAACCCAUCGAUACAAUAUGUUAUUUUGUGAAAGCAGUCUUAAUAUUAACUAAUAAUAAUGCCAUUUAGUUUUUAAAAAGUAAAGUG
rnacentral:lncRNA from 1 species